AUCUUUUUAGUAUUAUAAUUGUACAUUUGACUUCCAAUCAAAAAGACUAAACUCCAUUUAGAAAAGAUA
rnacentral:tRNA from 1 species